GACGGAUGCCCCAGCUGGGGGGAUGGACCGCCAUCUUUGCUGUCUAACAGCCUUAGCCAUUGUUGCCUUCAGGCUCUAGGGAGUCCGAGGAGACCAGGGAAUGAAGCGCUCCCCAGCACAGUGCAGCAGUUCUACAGAGAAGCAGCCAGACUGAUUUUUCGUGCAAGUCCUUUAUGCUGUUUCUCUUUACUGGGCAGAAUCUCCAAACCGAGGACGACAACCACCCCCAUAGAUGUGUUCAGGCAAGCAAAUAGCUAGAACAUCAAUAAGAUGCUGGAGUUUAAUCAACCACAGCAGACUGUGAGGUGGAAGCCACUUGGUGAUUGUGAGCCAGCACCAAGAUCGAAGGCAUUUGGAUCCCUGGUGAUCACAGACCCAGCAUGUCAUCUCUGCAAAGGUGACAUUAGAUUCUAUUUGAAGAAGAAGACAUCCAUAUUGUUUAAGACGUUGUUAUUUGGAGUUUUCUGUCAGUAGCAGGCAAACCUAAUUCUAACUAACAUAGCCUACAACUUACUUUCACAAAUUUAACAAUCUAUGCUACAUCCUGUAUAAUUCUUACCAUCUUGAUUAUUUACUGAAGAUGAUGAAAUGUUCAGUUAUGUCACAUGCCUAUUAUUGGCAACAGCAUGAUUCACCAACUCUUGGAGAUUUUCCUGAAAAAUAAAAACACUAGUGUUUGUUAUGA
ensembl:lncRNA LINC02468 long intergenic non-protein coding RNA 2468